rnacentral:rRNA from 1 species
GACGAACGCUGGCGGCGUGCCUAAUACAUGCAAGUCGAACGAGUUUCGCACGGGUGAGUAACGCGUGGUAACCUUCCCCAUUGCGGGGGAUAACUUUUUGAAACCAUAGCUAAUACCGCAUAGCUAUUGCUGGACCUGCGUUGUAUUAGCUAGUUGGUGAGGUAAAGGCUCACCAAGGCGACGAUACAUUGCCGACCUGAGAGGGGGAUCGGCCACACUGGGACUGAGACACGGCCCAGACUCCUACGGGAGGCAGCAGUGGGGAAUAUUGCACAAUGGGCGCAAGCCUGAUGCAGCCAUGCCGCGUGUAUGAAGAAGGCCUUCGGGUUGUAAAGUACUUUCAGCGAGGAGGCGUUACUCGCAGAAGAAGCACCGGCUAACUCCGUGCCAGCCGCCGCGGUAAUUC